rnacentral:rRNA from 1 species
GAACUUAAGCAUAUCAAUAAGCGGAGGAAAAGAAACUAACAAGGAUUCCCCUAGUAACUGCGAGUGAAGCGGGAAGAGCUCAAAUUUAAAAUCUGGCAGCUGAUGGGCUUGUCCGAGUUGUAAUCUAGAGAAGUGUCUUCCGCGCUGGGACCGUGUACAAGUCUCUUGGAAUGGAGCAUCAUAGAGGGUGAGAAUCCCGUCUCUGACACGGAAUUUACCGGUGCUUUUGUGAUGCGCUCUCGAAGAGUCGAGUUGUUUGGGAAUGCAGCUCAAAAUGGGUGGUAAAUUCCAUCUAAAGCUAAAUACAGGCGAGAGACCGAUAGCGAACAAGUACCGUGAGGGAAAGAUGAAAAGGACUUUGAAAAGAGAGUUAAACAUUACGUGAAAUUGUUGAAAGGGAAACGAUUCAAGUCAGUCGCAUUAGCCAGUAAUCAACCCUCGCAAUUAACCUUGCUGGGCUUACUUUCUGGUUGAUGGGUCAGCAUCAAUUUUGACCGUCAGAGAAAGGCUUUGCGGGGAAUGUGACAUCUUCGGAUGUGUUGUAGCCCCAACUCGCAUGUGAUGGUCGGGAUUGAGGAACUCAGCACGCCUUUACAGGUCAGGGCCGCCAGAAUGGCCCAUGUAAACGUAGCUUAGGAUGCUGGCAUAAUGGCUUGAACCGACCCGUCUUGAAACACGGACCAAGGAGUCUAACAUGCCUGCGAGUGUUUGGGUGGAAAACCCGAGCGCGAAGUGAAAGUGAACUUGGUUGAGAUCCCUGUCGUGGGGAGCACCGACGCCCGGACCAGACCUUCUGUGACGGAUCUGCGGUAGAGCAUGCAUGUUGGGACCCGAAA